rnacentral:rRNA from 1 species
AAUGAACGCUGGCGGCAUGCCUAAUACAUGCAAGUCGAACGAGACCUUCGGGUCCAGUGGCGCACGGGUUCGUAACGCGUGGGAACCUUCCCUUAUGGUCGGAAUAACUCUCCGAAAGGGGUGCCAAUACCGGAUAAUGUCUUCGGACCAAGGAUUUAUCGCCUUUGGAUGGGCACGCGUUGGAUUAGCUAGUUGGUAGGGUAAAAGCCUACCAAGGCGACAAUCCAUAGCUGGUCUGUGAGGAUGAUCAGCCACACUGGGACUGGGACACGGCCCAGACUCCUACGGGAGGCAGCAAUGGGGAAUAUUGGACAGUGGGCGAAAGCAUGAUCCAGCAAUGCCGCGUGAGUGAUGAAGGCCUUAGGGUUGUAAAGCUCUUUUACCCAGGAUGAUAAUGACAGUACCGGGAGAAUAAGCUCCGGCUAACUCCGUG